rnacentral:rRNA from 1 species
CCUACGGGUGGCAGCAGUGGGGAAUAUUGGACAAUGGGCGCAAGCCUGACCCAGCAACGCCGCGUGAAGGAAGAAGGCUUUCGGGUUGUAAACUUCUUUUCUCAGGGACGAAGCAAGUGACGGUACCUUAGGAAUAAGCCACUGCUAACUACGUGCCAGCAGCCGCGGUAAUACGUAGGUGGCAAGCGUUAUCCGGAUUUACUGGGUGUAAAGGGAGUGUAGGCGGGAAAGCAAGUCAGAUGUGAAAACCAUGGGCUCAACCUGUGGACUGCAUUGGAAACUGUUUUUCUUGAGUACUGGAGAGGCAGACGGAAUUCCUAGUGUAGCGGUGAAAUGCGUAGAUAUUAGGAGGAACACCAGUGGCGAAGGCGGUCUGCUGGACAGUAACUGACGCUGAGGCGCGAAAGCGUGGGGAGCAAACAGGAUUAGAUACCCUUGUAGUC